GUCGGACGAGAGGUACCUUCGGGUACUGGAGAUGGCGCACGGCUGAGUAACGCGUGGGGACCUACCUCUUAGUGGGGGAUAACGGUUGGAAACGACCGCUAAUACCGCAUACGCCCUUCGGGGGAAAGAUUUAUCGCUAAGAGAUGGACCCGCGUUGGAUUAGGUAGUUGGUGAUGUAACGGCUCACCAAGUCAGCGAUCCAUAGCUGGUUUGAGAGGAUGAUCAGCCACACUUGGGACUGAGAUACGGCCCAGACUCCUACGGGAGGCAGCAGUGGGGAAUAUUGGACAAUGGGGGGCAACCCUGAUCCAGCCAUGCCGCGUGAGUGAAGAAGGCCUUCGGGUUGUAAAGCUCUUUCAGAUGCGAAGAUGAUGACGGUACAUCAGAAGAAGCCCCGGCUAAUUUCGUGCCAGCAGCCGCGGUAAUCGAAAGGGGCUAGCCGUUGUUCGGAUUUACUGGGCGUAAGGGCCGCAGGCGGUCUUGGCAGUCAGGGGUGAAAGCCCCGAAGCUC
rnacentral:rRNA from 1 species